GAUGCAUUUGUGAAGGAGACGUCUGUGAGCUCCGUGUUCAAGGAUGGAAACGUGAUAAUAACACGGGGCACACACUGUGCCAGCACUGUUUGCACUGANNNNNNNNNNNNNNNNNNNNGCACUGAGUCCACACAAACGCCCGCUCUGCAGGUGAGGAAGUCGAGACCCAGAGUCAGCAGCUUCCCCACUGCCCACGGAUGUAGACCACAGAGCGGGGGUAGGACCCAGCUGCUGCCUCCAGGAUCCGUUCCCUUGACCACUACACGUCCUGCCUGUCGGAGCAGAGCCCCCGAUUGCUAACUUACAGUGUGAAACACAACUGCCGACCAAACCAGGUGGUCACCUUGGCCGACCUGAGUAGAAUCUCCUCCCCCCACGGAUUCAGAGAGGGCGGGUACUGGAGUCUCAGAGUCUCAGCGGAGGUCACUUUGCUUAGGAAGCAGUCUCCUGGGCGAGGCUCCGUCUUCCCACAUCUACUUCUGGGACCCUGGGUGGCUGAGGGCCCACUCAGGCGCCCCUGGAGGUACAGAGAUUUCACUCACAGCACUGUUUCUGUUGGGUGAGGUGCACCCUUCAGAGCCACACUGGACCCUGGCGCCCACGUCUGCCUCCAUCUGCGCAUCCCCAGGCCUCUCGUUCUUACAGUGAAGGAGGCAUCUGAGCCCAGGAUGGUUCCCUACCUAAUUCCCUCGGCGUGUCUACACUGACGGAGGGUGUCUCCUUCUAUCUCCAGGUUUGUUUCCUUUUACCUGGAUUGCCUCCUUAAGAACCCAGGUGUAUCCCCCAACCUGGAAUGUCUCUCUAAUUUCCCAGAUGUGUCCUUCUUCACCUGUAAUCUCGUCUUCAUUCCCAAGUAUGUAUAUCUUGACCUUAUAUGUCUCCCUAAAUUCCCAGGUGUACUUUUCUGAUGUGGGAUGACUCCCUAACUCCCAGUUGUGUCAACACUGACCUAGGAUGUCUCUCAAAAAUACCCUGGCGUGUCUACACUGACCAGGGAUACCUCAGUUAUUCCCCAGGUGUAUCUUCCCUGACGUGGGAUGUCUUCCUUCUCCCCGGGCAUGUCUACUCAGACCUGGGAAACGUCUCUAAUUCCAAGGUGUGUACUCUGACAUGGAAUGGCUACCUCAUUCACCCAGUGUUUCUACACUGAUCUAGGCUGUAUAUCUAAUUCCCCAGGUGUAUCUACCCUGACCUAGGAUGUCGCCUUAAUCCCCAAGGUACAUAUAUGCUAGCAUGGGAUGUUUCCCUCAUUUCUGAGUUGUGUCUACCCUGACAUGAGAUGUCCCCCUAAUUCCUCAGGUGUGUCCACACUAAUCUUGGAUGUCUCCCCAUUUCCGCAAGGAUACUUAUCCUGACCUGUGAUGUAGCUCUAAUUCCCCAGGUGUAUCUACUCUGGCCUUGAAUGUCUUCCUCAUUCCUGGGGGUGUCUAACCUGAUACAGGAUGCCCGCUAAUUCCCCAGGUGUGUCUACUCUUCCCUGGGCUGUCACUAAUUCCAAUUGUGUCUACCCUGACCUCGGAUGCAUUCCUAGUAUCCCAAGUUUGUCUACUCUGAUCUAGGCUCUCCUUCCUCCCCAAGAGGAUAUGGAGUGAGAUAGUGAUCUGCUUUCAUUCCUUUGCAUGUGGCUGUCCAGUUUUCCCAGCACUACUUAUUGAAGAGACUUUCCUUUUUCUGUUGCAUGCUGUUGGCUCCUUUGUCAAAGAUUAGGUGUUCAUAGAUGUUCGGUUUUAUUUCUGGGCCUUCAGUUCUGUUCCAUUGACCUUGUGUCUGUUUUUCUGCCAGCACCAUGCUGUUUUAAUUGCAAUAGCUUUGUAGUAUAAUUUGAAUUCAGGGAGUGUGAUACCUCCAAAUUUGUUCUUUUUUCUCAGGAUUCUUUUGGCUAUUCUGGGCCUUUUGUUGUUCCGUAUGAAUUUUAGGAUUCUUUGUUCUGUUUCCAUGAAGAAUGUCAUUGGGGUUCUAACUGGGAUUGCACUGAAUCUGUAGAUUGCUUAGGUAAUAUGGACAUUUUAACUAUGUUUAUUCUUCCUAUCCAUGAGCAUGGAAUGUCUUUCCAUUCCUUUAUGUCUUCUUUGAUUUCUUUCAAUAAUGUCUUAAAGUUUUUACUGUGUAGGUCUUUCAUCUCCUCGGUUAAAUUUAUUCCUAGGUAUUUU
rnacentral:lncRNA from 1 species